UGCAGUCGAGCGAACUGAUUAGAAGCUUGCUUCUAUGACGUUAGCGGCGGACGGGUGAGUAACACGUGGGCAACCUGCCUGUAAGACUGGGAUAACUUCGGGAAACCGAAGCUAAUACCGGAUAGGAUCUUCUCCUUCAUGGGAGAUGAUUGAAAGAUGGUUUCGGCUAUCACUUACAGAUGGGCCCGCGGUGCAUUAGCUAGUUGGUGAGGUAACGGCUCACCAAGGCCACGAUGCAUAGCCGACCUGAGAGGGUGAUCGGCCACACUGGGACUGAGACACGGCCCAGACUCCUACGGGAGGCAGCAGUAGGGAAUCUUCCGCAAUGGACGAAAGUCUGACGGAGCAACGCCGCGUGAGUGAUGAAGGCUUUCGGGUCGUAAAACUCUGUUGUUAGGGAAGAACAAGUACAAGAGUAACUGCUUGUACCUUGACGGUACCUAACCAGAAAGCCACGGCUAACUACGUGCCAGCAGCCGCGGUAAUACGUAGGUGGCAAGCGUUAUCCGGAAUUAUUGGGCGUAAAGCGCGCGCAGGCGGUUUCUUAAGUCUGAUGUGAAAGCCCACGGCUCAACCGUGGAGGGUCAUUGGAAACUGGGGAACUUGAGUGCAGAAGAGAAAAGCGGAAUUCCACGUGUAGCGGUGAAAUGCGUAGAGAUGUGGAGGAACACCAGUGGCGAAGGCGGCUUUUUGGUCUGUAACUGACGCUGAGGCGCGAAAGCGUGGGGAGCAAACAGGAUUAGAUACCCUGGUAGUCCACGCCGUAAACGAUGAGUGCUAAGUGUUAGAGGGUUUCCGCCCUUUAGUGCUGCAGCUAACGCAUUAAGCACUCCGCCUGGGAGUACGGUCGCAAGACUGAAACUCAAAGGAAUUGACGGGGGGCCCGCACAAGCGGUGGGAGCAUGUGGUUUUAAUUCGAAGCAACGCGAAGAACCUUACCAGGUCUUGACAUCCUCUGACAACUCUAGAAGAUAGAGCGUUCCCCUUCGGGGGGACAGAGUGACAGGUGGGUGCAUGGUU
rnacentral:rRNA from 2 species